rnacentral:piRNA from 1 species
UACAGAAUCUCAUAGGGGGUGAGG